rnacentral:rRNA from 1 species
AGUGAACGCUGGCGGUAGGCCUAACACAUGCAAGUCGAACGGCAGCACAGUAAGAGCUUGCUCUUACGGGUGGCGAGUGGCGGACGGGUGAGGAAUACAUCGGAAUCUACUUUUUCGUGGGGGAUAACGUAGGGAAACUUACGCCAAUACCGCAUACGACCUACGGGUGAGAGCAGGGGAUCUUCGGACCUUGCGCGAUUGAAUGAGCCGAUGUCGGAUUAGCUAGUUGGCGGGGUAAAGGCCCACCAAGGCGACGAUCCGUAGCUGGUCUGAGAGGAUGAUCAGCCACACUGGAACUGAGACACGGUCCAGACUCCUACGGGAGGCAGCAGUGGGGAAUAUUGGACAAUGGGCGCAAGCCUGAUCCAGCCAUACCGCGUGGGUGAAGAAGGCCUUCGGGUUGUAAAGCCCUUUUGUUGGGAAAGAAAAGCAGCAGGUUAAUACCCCGCUGUUCUGACGGUACCCAAAGAAUAAGCACCGGCUAACUUCGUG